UACGUAUGGAGCAAGCGUUAUCCGGAUUUACUGGGUGUAAAGGGAGCGUAGGCGGCCCUGUAAGUCUGAUGUGAAAAUUUGGGGCUCAACCCCAAACGUGCAUUGGAAACUGCAGGGCUUGAGUGCCGGAGAGGCAGGCGGAAUUCCUAGUGUAGCGGUGAAAUGCGUAGAUAUUAGGAGGAACUCCAGUGGCGAAGGCGGCCUGCUGGACGGUAACUGACGCUGAGGCUCGAAAGCGUGGGGAGCAAACAGG
rnacentral:rRNA from 1 species